UAUGAGCCACACCUACCUAAAUUGAAAUGGAACUUAUGGAAGCUAUGAUUUUACCUAGGAUUUUACAGUUUUUACUGGAGAUUUUACUUUAAUUUUCUCUGUCUCUAUCUCUAUCUCUCUCUUUCUUUUACUCUUGUUUAGGAUUAAAGUCCCGGUACCUGUACAUUACUGUACAGUUGGAUCAAGAGGAGGUGUAUAGGACACCAAUAAUGAUAGAGCCUGGAGCUAGGACAUUGAUAACACUGAGUUUAACGAGAGCUUUGCUGAUAAACAUUGAAUUAUGAAAUGUACAUCAAAAAGUGUUGAUAGAAAAUGUGUUUCAUUUACCCGACACAUUCCCAGAGACUCAAAGUAUCUUGAGGUACGUUAUUCUGCUCGUCAUCCUGCCCCUCCCCCACCUCCUCUGGUCUCUUGUACAGCUGUGUGUUUGGUACCAAUACAACAAGGUUAGGACACACAGUCAGUGUAUGUACAUGUACAUGU